AGGAAGAGCCGGAAGAUACAUCAGCUUCUCAGGAACCCGCUACAGAGAUGCGGCAGAACCGAACGACAGAUAAGUGCAAUUACCAUCGCCUCUUCUGUAGAGAAGAAGAAAACACACCCUGCUCCCUUCUGGCUCUCAUCCAGAAAGGCAAGCUUUCUACUCUCUCCCCAGCCUGGAAGAGGCUCCUACUAUCUCUGAGGAAUCACUAACGCGAUACAAACUCCUGGCGACACCAUGAUUACACUGAGGCCUGCGAUCAGGACGCUGCCCCGAAUGUGCUGCCAGGACGCCUUCCAUCUGUGGGUACUUAGGACGCAUGUCAAGUUUCAUCCUGGAGUAAGACACAGUCAAAUUAUUUCCAUAACUUUGGAAGUUACUCAUUCCACAUUUUCUUUAUUAUUUUUUGGCAUUGGAGGCUAUUCUAUUGCUCUGACCAAAUGUCUCUGCCUUGAUAGCAAAAACAUUUGCUUUCUUCUCAUCUUCCUUGAUAUUUUUGGAAGAACAAUUUGACGACUCCCAUGAAUGAUUCUGAGUUAGCGGGAGAGCAUCUGCUGCUGGUCCUUUCUCUUCUCAAGUUCGCAGAGAACCUCAUUUCAUCAUUUUAAAAGCAAAAGAUUUGCCCGAUCUGAGGUGACAAUAAAAGGACUCUAGGGGCACCUGGUGGCUCAGUCAGUUAGGUGUCCAGCUUUGGUUCAGGUCAUG